ACAUACUAACUUCGGAACGGUCACAAAGAAAGAAUCAAAGAUGUUGUGCUUCAAAAAGUCAUUAAAAUUUUAACACUUAACCUCAGACAAAUUCAACUGGCUGGAUUCCAGAGGCCACGGUGGAAGCUGCACAAGUUUGACCCUGAAGAGAGUACCCCCUUCAGACAUCUCUUCCUACUCCUCCUCAAAGGAAGCCACAGAACUCUGAGGAUGCAUUUGCAUAAUUGCCUCCUGCACCCUUCAAGUGCAGAUACUGACAUCUUGAAUCCCUACAGUGCAGAAAGAAACCAUCCAGCCAAUGAGUUUGCACCGACACUCUGAAGAGCUCUGGUCCAGACCCAGCUUCUUACCCUAUCCCCGUAACCCCAACCAUGGCUAAUCCACCUAGAGUGCACAUCCCUGGACACAAUAUGGCCAAUCCACCUAACCUGCACAUCUUUGGACCA